rnacentral:rRNA from 1 species
CACGUAGGGCGCAAGCGUUGUUCGGAAUUACUGGGCGUAAAGCGCGCGUAGGCGGACCUGCAAGUCGGGGGUGAAAGCCCGAGCUCAACCUCGGAACUGCCUCGAUACUGCGGGUCUCGAGUCCGGUAGGGGAGCGUGGAAUCCCGGUGUAGCGGUGAAAUGCGCAGAGAUCGGGAGGAACACCCGUAGCGAAGGCGGCGCCUCUGGGCCGGUACUGACGCUGAGGAGCGAAAGCGUGGGGAGCAAACAGG